CCUACGGGAGGCAGCAGUGAGGAAUAUUGGUCAAUGGACGAGAGUCUGAACCAGCCAAGUAGCGUGAAGGAUGACUGCCCUAUGGGUUGUAAACUUCUUUUAUAUGGGAAUAAAACGUUCAACGUGUGGGAUUUUGUAUGUACCAUAUGAAUAAGGAUCGGCUAACUCGGUGCCAGCAGCCGCGGUAAGACGGAGGCUCCGAGCGUUAUUCGGAUUUAUUGGGGUUAAUGGGAGCGUAGGUGGAUUGUUAAGUCAGGUGUGAAAGUUUGCGGCGCAACCGUAAAACUGCAGUUGAAACGGGCACUCUGGAGUACAGGAGAGGUGGGUGGAAUUCGUGGUGUAGCGGUAAAAUGCUUAGAGAUCACGAAGAACUCCGAUAGCGAAGGCAGUUCACUGGACUGCAACUGACACUGAGGCUCGAAAGUGUGGGUAUCAAACAGGAUUAGAUACCCCAGUAGUC
rnacentral:rRNA from 1 species